ACCAAAGAAGCAAGCAAAAGACAAAAAAAAGGAUUCCACCUCUUCUACUGAACAAGCUGAACAACAAAGUGAACGACGUAACAUGCUGAAGAUGAAACAGAAAAUGAAGUUGUCAACUCCAAUGAAAACAAAAUAAAUGUUGCCAAGAAACUACUUUCAUAUUCUUUCUCUCAAUAUUACAAUAUUUCCAUAUAUUUACUACACUAUUUUUCAUCUAUUUAUAUUUCACCCUUUAUCAUUCUUAUUAAAUGCAUUUACAGGUUGAUCAACUUUUUUUUUUCAAUCACUUUUGAAUUUUGUAGAACAAAGAUAAUAAAUAUUAACAAUUUCUUAAUUUUUUUUCCAAUCCAUGAUUGCGUAAGUCCUUUUUAAUACAGUUCUUCUAGAUUCGUUCACACUAACUUUAACUAUUGUUCUUCUAUGAAACAGGUUGUAAUUAACAAGUUUGUUUUGUUCAAACAUCGCAGACUAUGUUUUUGAGUUUCAAAAAUUGCAAACUCCGUUUUUGGAUGAUGUCUUGGUUUCAGCUGAUUUUGAUAACCUGCAAUACAACUAUGUCAAUAUAGAUAAAAAGGUCAAUUAUUUUGUUAAGGUCAUGGAGUAGAUAUAACACCUUAUCCUGUUAACGGAGGCAAAGAGACCACUUUCAGUAUCACUGCAACUACAGGCAAUUGAGAAACAGAGAUGCAGCUGUGACGUCUGUCUCGCAGAAAAUCAAGCUUUACACUUCUCUUUGCAAAAUAGCAGUACUAAUGGUGUUUCUAUGGUCAAGAAGGAAUGUGCCACUCUUUCAGCAUUCAGCUUUGGCACUUUUUUUUUACCAACAAAUGUUUAUAUCAAUAUUAAUUCUUGUUCCACCUAAUAUGAAGCAUAACGUUGUAUCAUGUAAAUAUAACAUCACAUGACUUACUGUCUCAUAUAUAUGUUGGAAGUUUG